rnacentral:rRNA from 1 species
AAUCGACGGGGACCUGCACAAGCGGUGGAUGAUGUGGUUUAAUUCGAUGCAACGCGAAAAACCUUUACCCACCUUUGACAUGUACGGAACUUGCCAGAGAUGGCUUGGUGCUCGAAAGAGAGCCGUAACACAGGUGCUGCAUGGCUGUCGUCAGCUCGUGUCGUGAGAUGUUGGGUUAAGUCCCGCAACGAGCGCAACCCUGGUCAUUAGUUGCUACGAAAGGGCACUCUAAUGAGACUGCCGGUGACAAACCGGAGGAAGGUGGGGAUGACGUCAAGUCCUCAUGGCCCUUAUAGGUGGGGCUACACACGUCAUACAAUGGCUGGUACAAAGGGUUGCCAACCCGCGAGGGGGAGCCAAUCCCACAAAGCCAGUCGUAGUCCGGAUCGCAGUCUGCAACUCGACUGCGUGAAGUCGGAAUCGCUAGUAAUCGUGGAUCAGCAUGUCACGGUGAAUACGUUCCCGGGUCUUGUACACACCGCCCGUCACACCAUGGGAGCGGGUUCUGCCAGAAGUAGUUAGCCUAACCGCAAGGGGGGCGAUUACCACGGCAGGGUUCGUGACUGGGGUGAAGUCGUAACAAGGUAACCA